ACUAGGGGGCGCAUUGGAAGAUGGCUGACAAUAACAUCUCUCCGACCCACACAAGGUAAUUUGGAGGCUAUGAUGGGGGUAAUUAGCCUCCUUAACCCCCCCCCAGGAUUGUGGGGGGGAUGGCCCUUGGCUGCUGUGCCCUAUACCACCCCCGAAUUUGUGGGGGUGGGGGCACUAGGCACAAAGCCCUCCUGUGGGACUUUGGCACUCCUGAACGCCGUCCCUGAUUCGCGCCACUAGAUGCAGAACUUCAAAGGAAACAAUUUGGAUGAAAGGAAUGCACAUAUUUCAAGAAAGAAGGGGGAGUAAAGACUGCUAACAGAAGAGAUCUCUGACAAAACAAGAUAAGAAUAAAACAUGAGAAGAUACGCCAAGACAAGGUAUGGCAAAUGACUGAUGGGGGAGGGGG